GACGAACGCUGGCGGCGUGCUUAACACAUGCAAGUCGAGCGGUAAGGCCCUUCGGGUACACGAGCGGCGAACGGGUGAGUAACACGUGGGUGACCUGCCUCUAGCUCUGGGAUAAGCCUGGGAAACUGGGUCUAAUACCGGAUAUGACUCCACGGCGCAUGUUGUGGGGUGGAAAGCCUUGUGUGGCUAGAGAUGGGCCCGCGGCCUAUCAGCUUGUUGGUGGGGUGAUGGCCUACCAAGGCGA
rnacentral:rRNA from 1 species